rnacentral:lncRNA from 1 species
UUUCAUUUUCUGCACAACUGACCUUUCAUCUUCUUCCAUGGAAGGCUAAAGAAAAGAGUUAUCACAUACUUAAACUAGUAGCUAAGAACAAUAAGAAACAUCAAAGUUUGGAGUGAAUUAAUUUUUCGUCAAAAAUUCUCACUGAUGCUAUGCUUUGAACCUCUAAAGAACUCUUCAACUUGGAAUAUGUGGAUCUGAGCUUCUUGUAAUGCUUGCGAUAAUGAAUCUCCCUUCAAUACACAUAGAGAAAUGUUUUUGAAAUUGCUUUCUAUCCAAAAAAAUCUGAAAAACCCAAACCAAAGCAUCUUCCAAAAUGAUUCCGUACCAAAAGCUAAAGUUACUACCCAUCUUUCAUUUCCUAGUAUGUUUACUUAAAAUCUCAUCUCGUAAUUUAUUUUCUUAGCAGAUUGAACUCCCAAGGAGUUGAUCUUACCACUCCUAAAAUUUUUUUUUCAAGGUUUUUAUUUAAAGUCCCUUGCGCAGGUAAUCUAGCGGC